rnacentral:tRNA from 1 species
GCGGGUUUAGCUCAGUUGUUUAGAGCGCCACCUUGCCAAGGUGGAGGUCGAGAGUUAGGGUCUCUUAACCCGCACCA